rnacentral:rRNA from 1 species
UACAGAGGGUGCGAGCGUUAAUCGGAAUUACUGGGCGUAAAGCGUGCGUAGACGGUUAUUUAAGUCGGGUGUGAAAGCCCCGGGCUCAACCUGGGAAUUGCAUUCGAGACUGAAUAGCUAGGGUACGGUAGAGGGAAGUGGAAUUUCCGGUGUAGCGGUGAAAAUGCGUAGAUAUCGGAAGGAACAUCAGUGGCGAAAAGCGACUUCCUGGACCAGUACCGACGUCAGGCACGAAAGCGUGGG